GCACAAGCGGUGGAUGAUGUGGUUAAUUCGAUGCAACGCGAAAACCUUACCUACCCUUGACAUGUCUGGAGCCUUGGUGAGAGCCGAGGGUGCCUUCGGGAGCCAGAACACAGGUGCUGCAUGGCUGUCGUCAGCUCGUGUCGUGAGAUGUUGGGUUAAGUCCCGCAACGAGCGCAACCCUUGUCACUAGUUGCCAUCAUUUGGUUGGGCACUCUAGUGAGACUGCCGGUGACAAACCGGAGGAAGGUGGGGAUGACGUCAAGUCCUCAUGGCCCUUAUGGGUAGGGCUUCACACGUCAUACAAUGGUCGGUACAGAGGGUUGCCAAGCCGCGAGGUGGAGCGAAUCCCAGAAAACCUGUCUCAGCCCGGAUUGAAGUCUGCAACUCGACUUCAUGAAGGCGGAAUCGCUAGUAACCGCGAAUCAGCAGGUCGCGGUGAAUACGUUCCCGGGCCUU
rnacentral:rRNA from 1 species